rnacentral:rRNA from 1 species
AGCAGCCGCGGUAAUUCCAGCUCCAAUAGCGUAUAUUAAAGUUGUUGCAGUUAAAAAGCUCGUAGUUGAAUUUCGGGAUUAGUACGCUGGUCGUGCCUUCGGUACGUACUGGUGUUACUGAUCCCUACCUUCUGACGAACCGUCAUGUCAUUAAUUUGAUGUGGCGGGGAAUCAGGACUGUUACUUUGAAAAAUUAGAGUGUUUAAAGCAGGCUCGCGCUUGAAUACAUUAGCAUGGAAUAAUGAAAUAGGACGUUCGAUCCUAUUUUGUUGGUUUCUAGGAUUGACGUAAUGAUUAAUAGGGAUAGGUCGGGGGCAUUAGUAUUCAAUUGUCAGAGGUGAAAUUCUUGGAUUUAUUGAAGACUAACUACUGCGAAAGCAUUUGCCAAGGAUGUUUUCAUUAA